AUGGCGAAGAAGGCCGCAAAGCGAGCUGUUGGUGAAGCAAGGGGUCGGGCGUAUGAGGACCUCUACCAACGGUUAGGCACAAAGGAAGGCGAAAGGAAGAUCUAUAAGAUGGCCAAGAUCCGAGAGAGGAAGACGAGGGAUAUUGGCCAAGUCAAAUGCAUCAAGGACGGGGCAGGCCAACUCUUGGUGAAGGACGAGGAGAUUAAGCAUAGAUGGCGGGAGUACUUUGACAAGUUGUUCAAUGGGGAGAAUGAGAGUUCUACCAUUGAACUGGAUGACUCCUUUGAUGAGACCAGCAUGCGUUUUGUGCGGUGA
rnacentral:rRNA from 1 species